rnacentral:lncRNA from 1 species
UCCAUCCACUGACUCCAACAUGGAAACCAAUGUCAUUUAUGUUGUCAUUGGAGCCAUCUCUGCUGUGGCCAUCAUUGGAGCUGUGUUGGCUGUUGUGAGGAAGAAAAACACAGGAGGAACAGGAGGAGACUACACCCCUGCUCCAGCAUGAAGACAGCUGUCUGGAGUGGACUGAGUGACAGACGAUGUGUUCAGGUCUCUGCUGUGACAUCCAGAGUCCUCUGUUCUCUUUACACACCAGUGUCUGAUGUUCCCUCUGAUUUUGUGGGUUUGCUGUGAAGAACUGUGGAGCCCAGCCUGCCCCUGCAUUUCAGGGCCCUGUCUCUGCACUGCCCUCUGUUCCCUUCCACAGCCAACCUUCCUGCUCUGAAGUGGAAACUCAGGGUUCUCAGGAAAGUCGUUUGGAUGGUGUUUUGCUGUGGCAAACAGGAGGAAUGUUUCCUUACAGUGGACACAGGUGUGAAAGACUGAGAUUGACUGGGGAAGGAAUGUUUCCCUCAGACAGACACAGGAGAGAGGAUGUUCUGCUAAAGCAAGCACAUGAAAGGACACGCGAUGAAGGAGACUUUGCUCACAACAUGCAUGUAUUGGUCCGCCUUACAUUGUACUCGAGCUGUAUUUGUCACGGCUCCAUAGUGAGAAAUGCACCAAUUAACUUCUGGUGGUGUGCUGCAGUCUGUUGCUGCU